rnacentral:misc_RNA from 1 species
AAUAAUAAUAAUAAUAAUAAUAGACAUAAUAAAUUUUCAAUCUAGUGUGCUCUCCUGAAGUUUCCCAUCACUGAGGACACCAUUAACAAAUGUAUGUGGAAACAUUAAAUGCUAUCGAGUACAAGGCAUUUCAAGGUUAGGUCUUCCAUCGAGUACUUCUUGUGUCGAUUCAUCUGGAAAUGCAUCUGGGUAGGUAGCCAAAAUUUUAGCCUUCAUGCUCCUACAAAGAAAAGCAAAAGAAGAAGGAUCAUCCUCCAAAUGACAACAAAUUCAAGUCUCAAAAGAUAAGAGUUAAAUAGGACUACAACUAAACUACACACAUAAGAACAUCUUGAUAGAAGAAGUGCGAGAACUUGAGUCUCCACUCUCUACUUCCCAUAAAUCUUCUCCUUGCCACAUCAUGGAGUUUUACAGAUUUCUAUCCUAGGUAGGCCAAAACAGUUUUAGUUACCUAGAAGAAAGGUUUCUAGCGUGCCUUGUCAGUCCAGAUACACCACAGAACAGAACAAGAGAUACUGAGAAAACUUUGAAAUUACAUUCUUCAAUCUCAUAUUUACUGGGGUCUCCAAACAAUACACAGAAUACAUCACUGAUCACUCGAAUGUGCAAUCCAAAUGAUGUUAUUUUCAUCAAUGGACUCACUUUAUUCAGCAAUUCUGAGAUUCUUAAAUUAGUUUUCAGAUAAUUCUAACUAACUAAUGCUGCAACAGAACAAUAAUUUAGAAUAUUAUUUACAUCCAAUCUGUCUCUCUCUGUUUCUAUUGUGUGAGCACCUAGCUUCUUCUUUUUUUUCCCACCUCUAUCUUCCUUCAAUUCUGCUGUCGCUGCAGCUCCGCAAUUGCACAUCAAGGUUGCCACCAACUUUCCAUUUUCAAUACUCAUUCAAACCCACUGCAUAAAUCUCUAACCUUGGCUAUUAAAAUUAGACCCUUUCAAACUGCCAAUUAAAUGCAUAACCUAGUUGUUGCUAGAAAUUCCCAAUAGCCAGACAAGAAUGUUUGCAGAGUAAGCCAAGUAAUAAUACAUUCAAGACAACAACAAUUACAAUAAUAAUUGACCAGAAGCAAGAGCAGAACCCAAAAUACCUUAACUUCUGAAAUAUGUAGUCGAGGUCAGACUUCAUAGACCUCAAGAGACGAGUAUUUCUUGAAAAAUCACUCGAAACCUCAGCGAAGCAGUGCUCAGAGUACUGGUUAAAAUGAGACAAGACAGCGUUACUAUCCUGCAACCUUCCCAAUAUGAGGUGCUGCAAUUGCUUGAGGGAAUCCAAAUCUUCCUCAUUGAUUAGGGUUUUGAACUCUGCUGAUACAUCUUUUGAAGCCUCUCUCAUCGCCUCUUUCUCCGAUUGCUCCAUCGCGACUCUGUACACAAACACCGAUACAAUACUACAGGACGGGAAGAAGGAGAUCAAGAAUG